GACGAACGCUGGCGGCGUGCUUAACACAUGCAAGUCGAACGGGCCUGUCUUCUUUUUUGGGGGGUGGGUUGAGUGGCGAACGGGUGAGUAUCACGUGAGUAACCUGCCCUUCGGUCCUGGAUAACCGCUUGAAAGGGCGGCUAAUACGGGGUGGUCCGGUUGGUCCGCAUGGGCUGGUCGGGAUAGAUUCACUGUUUUUGGUGUUUCGGCGGGGGAUGGGCUCGCGGCCUAUCAGCUUGUUGGUGGGGUGAUGGCCUACCAAGGCGGUGACGGGUAGCCGGCCGGAGAGGGUGGGCGGCCACACUGGGACUGAGAUACGGCCCAGACUCCUGCGGGAGGCAGCAGUGGGGGGUAUUGCACAAUGGGCGGAAGCCUGAUGCAGCGACGUCGCGUGAGGGAUGGAGGCCUUCGGGUUGUGAACCUCUGUUUCCGGUGGUGAAGGCCCUGUCCGUGUGGUGGGGUUGACGGUAGCCGGGGAUGAAGCGCCGGCUAACUACGUG
rnacentral:rRNA from 1 species